rnacentral:misc_RNA from 1 species
AGCGUGGGCUUGUGCCUUCCUCUUUCUGCUUUUCCCCCAAACACCAGUCGUUCGUGUAGCGCGUUUUUCGGUAAGCUCUCCCUCGCCUGUCCUGCUAUCGCUCCUCAUGCCCUCAUUCUCAGGUCUCUCGAUGUGACAAUGUCCCUCCUCCGCCCGCUCGGGGAGUGCUUGCGUCCUGCUCAGCGACACACACCCACGCCCGCGCACACGCCUGCGUACACGAUGUUCACCUUCUAUCUCGCGCAGGCUAGGACCACAUCAGUUCUUCACUCACUUGUUCGCUGCCACCGCUGCCUCUCCGUCGCUCUCCAUCCCCCUUCCUUCUCUUCCUUUCCGCGUGCUCCGUCGUCGCGUGCCUGUCACAGGCCUCCCCCGUGGUGCGGCAGCGACGAGCAGCGACGAGCAGCGACGAUCACCGGCUCGACCGACCUUCACCUCGAAGGUCUAUGAGGCAACGCUGCGCGGACGUCAGGAUGAGCCGUGCAUAGGGCGCCUGGGAGCGGCCGCCCAGAAUUGCGGACUGCUCAGAACAGCGGCUGUGCGUCCCCCGCUCUCCGCAGCGGGCAGCACCACGGGGCAGCGCCCAGUCGGCCUCUAUCUUGAGCAUCACUGCCCCACAUGUGGCGUGAAAGCAACUGUUGCCACGCGCUACCGGCACCCCCAUCUCUGCGGCAUAAUGACGGCCUGCGGAGUCACCCCGAAUGCAAGCCCGAUGGGCACGUCUGCCGCCGCAGCGACGGUGCUUCGGGGUCUGCAGAAGCAGGUAACGCUUCUACGCGAGGACAAGCUCUUGCUGAACGCACAGGUGUCUACGCCGAUCCCGUCCAAGCUGUCACAGGCGUCUCUGCUGGCGCUCGCUAAUCGCGAGAAUCGCAAGGUGAACGUGGCUUCAAUGAUCGGGUGGCGUCCCUCAAGUCAGGUCACCACUUCGACACCGCUCUACUCGCAGUUGUACACUACCCCGGGGCCAAACUGUGGGGUGUACACGGCGCGGACGGCGUGCGAGGCAGUGCCGCUUGCUGGAUGCGCGACACUUGUGGCCCUGCGGCGCCGUGGAGUGCCAGAACCCGUACGGCCAUUCCACCUCGCCGCUUGGCAUCUUCGCUGGCUCGAAGAUCGCGGGCAGGAUGGUCGGCGCGCUGUCAUGGCGACCCGAUCGUGACCGGGGGGUGGUGACGUGACUGACUUUUCCCCUGAGUGGGAUCUACUGCACUGUGCUGCGUGCAUCAUGGGCCACGCGGCCAAAUUUGUGGGACUCCUUCAAGAUGCUGCUAUCGGAUCGUUUUGCGCUUGGACUGCUCCGUUGGCCUUGUGGCGGUAGCGUGCCCGCGGCACGUGCACGAGAAAGCGAACCCGUUGCCCAGGGGAAAGAUGAUCACCGUGCUCCGGGUGGCAAACACGCUGGGAGGGGUGAGGGCGGGGAGGCGCUUCAUGGCUGCACUCGUGGUGCUCUGUGCUGGCGAGAGGAACCCGUGCAACCAAGGGCAUGAUCGACACAUCUCUGGCCGUGCGCGGGGGCUGGCGGUCAUGGAAGCACUUCUGCCCUUGCUGCUGGUCUUCCUGGGUGUUUUCAGCAUGGGGACGAGGGUGAUGUGCAAGAAGGGCGUAGUCGGUGCGCUGAACCGGAGUGAGUACAGCUUCCACCGCCUGCUAGUGGCUGUGUGGUGCGGACACCCACGUUCCGGUUCACCGGCUUCAUCGCCGUGUCCAUCGUUGCAUCGAAGCUGGUGUCGAACGUCAACGUGUCACCGCUCCUCGGCGCUUACAUCAUCAUUGCAGGGAAGUUUGGCGGUGUGCGCUCGUGUCGCUGCUGUGCAGGCUGUUUUUGCUCGGCUGGUGCUUCAUCGGCUCCCCUCCUCUCCUCUCUGACGACUCAUGCACGAAAUCGCCACUGCGCAUGCACACGGAGCGCCUCCAUGCCUCUUCUCUCCCUCUCUGUCCUCUGGCCCGCAAG